AAGGGCACCACAAGAACGCGUGGAGCAUGUGGCUUAAUUUGACUCAACGCGGGAAAUCUUACCGGGUCCGGACACACUGAGGAUUGACAGGCAAUAUUAGCAAUUCCAUUUUUGCCUUCGGGCUCUAAUGCGUUUUGUUAUGUUAAAUAUGCUAGUCCUUUCAUGAUUAUGUGAUAGGUGGUGCAUGGCCGUUCUUAGUUCGUGGAGUGAUCUGUCUGCUUAAUUGCGUUUCACUAAGGGCCUAUAAUUUAACGUGUGUUGCGGCACUUUGACCCCUCAUUCUCACAUGAGCGCGUGUCUUAGUUUGCUUAGCUCGCACAAUUAGGUCCUGAAAGCAACGAACGUGACCGCAACCUCUUGUUGCCUUUAUACCAAACACGUUUGCUAUAUCUCAAUAUGGUCUCUCGUGAAAAAAGGCUUUUUAAACUAGGGGGACCGCUGUUAUCUUCUUAAACCAGAGGAAGGUUGCGGCAAUAACAGGUCUGUGAUGCCCUUAGAUGUUCCGGGCUGCACACGUGCUACAAUGAUUAUUGCAGUGAGCAUCUCAUUUUUUACACACCGCAUUCACGAGUCCAUUUAUUCAUUACCUUCGGGUUUUGCUUUAAAUGUGCAUCUCUGUGAGCGGUAAAGCCUGCUUCGACAGUAAGUGGGUAAUCAAUUAGAAGUAAUGAUUUCCUUUUUUUUCAGCACACAUAUAUACGGCGUUUAUACCCGGGCUAUCCUUGUUGAUAGCUUUUGUGUGUAUAGAUGUUUUUUCCGUAUGUGCAAUUGUCAAUUCAUGGUGGGGACAGACCAUUGUUAAUUGUUGGUCUCGGUCUUAACUAGGAAUGCCUUGUACGGGUCUUUGGUUCAACGAACCACCCGGAAUACGUCCCUGCCCUUUGUACACACCGCCCGUCGCUCUUACCGAUGGACUUCUCUGUGAGUUUGAGGGACUGGGAACGCAUCUGGUUCUCUUCGGAGCUCCUAUGCACACCUAUGGAAACUUAAACGAACAGUGUGGUCUAAAGGAAAGAGAAGUCG
rnacentral:rRNA from 1 species